AGCCUUGCCACUUGGCAAAAAAAUUCAAGCAAACCUCCUAAAAGUGUUGGUAGGAACGCCUGUUGUAUGGGCUACCGAAAACUCUGACUAAGAAAAGCAAAGCA
rnacentral:sRNA from 1 species